rnacentral:rRNA from 1 species
GACGAACGCUGGCGGCGUGCUUAACACAUGCAAGUCGAACGGAAAGGCCCUGAUUUUGUGGGGUGCUCGAGUGUCGAAAGGGUGAGUAACACGUGAGUAUCCUGCCCUUGACUUUGGGAUAACUUCAGGAAACUGGGGCUAAUACCGGAUAGGAGCUCCUGCUGCAGGGUGGGGGUUGGAAAGUUGCGGCGGUUGGGGAUGGACUCGCGGCUUAUGAGCUUGUUGGUGGGGUCGUGGCUUACCAAGACUUUGACGGGUAGCCGGGCUGAGAGGGUGACCGGGCAGAUGGGGACGGGCAUACGGCCCGGACCCCUACGGGAGGCAGCAGUGGGGAAUAUUGCACGAUGGACGGAAGCCUGAUGCAGCAACGCCGCGUGCGGGAUGACGGCCUUCGGGUUGUAAACCGCUUUCGCCUGUGACGAAGCGUGAGUGACGGUAAUGGGUAAAGAAGCACCGGCUAACUACGUG